rnacentral:tRNA from 1 species
GCCUCCGUAGCUUAAAAUAAAGCAAAACAUUCCAUG